rnacentral:tRNA from 1 species
AGUGUUUUAAGAUUAUAAAAUCUAUCAGCCUUCAAAGUUAAAAAAAAGAGAAAACUCUUAAACACUA